UCAGGCCUAACACAUGCAAGUCGAACGGUAGAGGGGGCAACCCCUUGAGAGUGGCGAACGGGUGAGUAAUGCAUCGGAACGUGCCCAGUCGUGGGGGAUAGCCCGGGGAAACCCGGAUUAAUACCGCAUACGACCUGAGGGUGAAAGCGGGGACCAGUAAUGGCCUCGCGCGAUUGGAGCGGCCGAUGUCGGAUUAGGUAGUUGGUGGGGUAAAGGCCUACCAAGCCUGCGAUCCGUAGCUGGUCUGAGAGGACGACCAGCCACACUGGGACUGAGACAGGGCCCAGACUCCUACGGGAGGCAGCAGUGGGGAAUUUUGGACAAUGGGGGCAACCCUGAUCCAGCCAUGCCGCGUGCGGGAAGAAGGCCUUCGGGUUGUAAACAAAGGUGUCAGGGAAGAAAUGUCCUGGGCUAAUACCCGGGGGGAUGAC
rnacentral:rRNA from 1 species